rnacentral:rRNA from 1 species
AUUGAACGCUGGCGGCAGGCCUAACACAUGCAAGUCGAGCGAGCGGCGGACGGGUGAGUAAUGUAUGGGGACUGCCCGUUAGGGGGGGAUAACUAAGGGAAACGGUAGCUAAUAACGCAUACUAUCGGAUAACCCAUAUGGGAUUAGCUAUUAGGGGAGGUAAUGGCUCACCAAGGCGACGAUCCCUAGCUGGUCUGAGAGGCUGAUCAGCCACACUGGAACUGAGACACGGCCCAGACUCCUACGGAGGCAGCAGUGGGGAAUAUUGCACAAUGGGCGCAAGCCUGAUGCAGCCAUGCCGCGUGUAUGAAGAAGGCCCUAGGGUUGUAAAGUACUUUCAGUCGGGAGGCGUUACCGACAGAAGAAGCACCGGCUAACUCCGUGCCAGCAGCCGCGGUAAUAC